CAUCUAGUUCUUAGAGAAGUCAGUGACCAUGCAAGUGAACCUUGUGUCAGACAGGUUCAGCUAGGCUAUGUUAUGUAACAGUGCCCAAAUCUCAACGGCUUAAAAUCACAAAAGCUUCUCUCUCACACUGCAUGUCUACGAUAGUCUGGCAGAGGGCUCUCAUCAUAAGUUAUUCAGGAAUCCAAGCCAUGGAGCUCCACCAUUUGAGAUCCUACCGUGUCACCAUGAGGAUUAGAGCGCCCCCGUCCCAUCCCCUGUGAAGUAAGAACGAAGAAUUGUUCCCGCUGGCCUGGUAGCAUAGCCGUUAAGUUUGCGCGCUCCACUUGGGUAGCUGGGCUUGGCCGGUUCGGAUCCUGGGUGCGGUCCUAUGCACCACUUAUCAAGCAAUGCUGUGGCAGGCAUCUCACAUAUAAAACAGAAAAAGAUGGGCACAGAUGUUAGCUCAGGGCUACUCUACCUCAAAAAGAAAAAAUGACAAGAAUCGUUCAUGGGCUUUUUAAUGCUUUUGUCUGGAAAGGACACGUAUCACUUCUAUUUACAUUUCAUUAGCCAAAGUCAGUCAUAUAGCCACACCCAACUUCAAGAGGGCUAGAGGAGCAAUCUUUUCAUAUGCCAGGAAGGAGAAGGAAAGCAGAAAUACUUCAUUAAAAGAAGAAGAGUUCAUCAUUUGCAGUGAUUCUCAAACAGCUGCAAGUGAAAACUGUCUGAGGCUUGUGAUGUGAUCCUCGUUAUUCCUGCCUCCACACUGCCUAUUGCCACAGUCCCUGGCUACUCCACGAAAGCAUUCUGCUUUGCUGCAAUGCUUCCCACCAACCACUGUAUCUGCCUCCUUCUUCAUCAGUUUGGCAGCCUCUGUGGGAGUCACUCCUAUUUUACUUUAAUUGCUGCCCAUUGGAACUUCACAGAAAAAAGUGACUGGACAAGGUUCCUCCUGACGUCAGUUUUUAACGGCCUUGACGCUUAUCCCCUGCUUGAAGCACUGGAGAAAUAUCCGCUUUAUAUAUGGCUUCAUAUGCAGCUGAAUUCUGUGGUGGCUGGGACAUGUUCAUGACUUUUACCCGCACUUCUUUG
rnacentral:lncRNA from 1 species